GUGCUCGCUUUGGCAGUGCAUAUACUAAAAUGAGAAUGAUAUAGAGGUUAGUAUGGCCCCUGAGCAAGGAUGACACACAAACUCAUCAAGCAUUGCAUAUUUAU
ensembl:snRNA U6 U6 spliceosomal RNA